UGUUUGUUGUAAGGGCGCACGGUGGAUGCCUGGGCAUGUCAAGCCGAUGAAGGACGUGAAGGGCUGCGUUAAGCCUCGGGGAGUUGCCGAUUAAGCGUUGAUCCGAGGAUGUCCGAAUGGGGAAACCCGGCCGUGGUUAUGUGCGGUCACCUGCUGCUGAAUGAAAUAGGUGGUAUGGGGGUUACGCGGGGAAGUGAAACAUCUCAGUACCCGUAGGAGAAGAAAACAAUAUGUGAUUCCGUUAGUAGUGGCGAGCGAAGGCGGAGGUGAUGGCUAAACUCUAUGCGUGGAUGAUACUUGGUAGGGGUUGCGUGUAGGGGGUUGUGGGAUGCGUGUGUCUGGCUGGCUACCACUGGCUGGGACCCUUGGAUUGUGUGUUAGGGGAAGUGGUGUGGAAUCGCCUGCCGUAGACGGUGAGAGUCCGGUACCUGAAGACAUGUGGUUGGGGUGUGUGCGUAUUUCCCGAGUAGCAGCGGGCUCGUGGAAUCUGCUGUGAAUCUGCCGGGACCACCCGGUAAGCCUGAAUACUUGGCGUGACCGAUAGUGUAGUUAGUACCGUGAGGGAAGGGUGAAAAGUACCCCGGGAGGGGAGUGAAAUAGUUCCUGAAACCGUGUGCUUACAAUCCGUCAUAGCCCCUGUUUGUGGGGUGGUGGCGUGCCUUUUGAAGAAUGAGCCUGCGAGUCAGCGGCAUGUCGCGAGGUUAACCCGUGUGUGUGGGGUAGUCGUAGCGAAAGCGAAUCCUAAUUGAGGGUGUGUUAGUGGCAUGUUCUGGACCCGAAGCGGGGUGAUCUACCCAUGGCCAGUGUGAAGCGGUGGUAAAACAUUGUGGAGGCGCGAACCCACUUAGGUUGAAAACUGAGGGGAUGAGCUGUGGGUAGGGGUGAAAGGCCAAUCAAACUCCGUGAUAGCUGGUUCUCCCCGAAAUGCAUUUAGGUGCAGCGUCGCGUGGUCCCUGGUGGAGGUAGAGCUACUGGAUGGCCGAUGGGCCCUGUGGGUUACUGACGUCAGCCAAACUCCGAAUGCCAUUAGGUGUAGCGUGGCAGUGAGACUGCGGGGGAUAAGCUUCGUAGUCGAGAGGGAAACAGCCCAGAUCAUCAGCUAAGGCCCCUAAGCGUGCGCUAAGUGGGAAAGGAUGUGGAGUCGCGGUGACAACCAGGAGGUUGGCUUAGAAGCAGCCAUCCUUGAAAGAGUGCGUAAUAGCUCACUGGUCAAGUGGUUCUGCGCCGACAAUGUAGCGGGGCUCAAGCGUACCGCCGAAGCUGUGGCAACAACACGCGAUGCUGGCGCCAGGAACUGGAGUGCUGGUGUGUUGUUGGGUAGGGGAGCGUCCUGCACGAGGUGAAGCCUGGAGGGAACUUCUGGUGGAUUGUGUGGGAGUGAGAAUGCAGGCAUGAGUAACGAAUCUGCGGUGAGAAUCCGCAGCGCCGAUUGACUAAGGGUUCCAGGGCUAGGUUUAUCCGCCCUGGGUUAGUCGGGUCCUAAGGCGAGGCCGACAGGCGUAGUCGAUGGACAACCAGUUGAUAUUCUGGUACCGCGUUAUGACCGCCCAUGCUGAAGUCAUUGUGCUAACCAAUUUGCUCACGCCGCCUCCACGCUUUCGGGCGUGUUGGUGUGUGUGGGUCUUGGGGUCCCGGUGAUGGUAGGCAAGCGUGUUAACAGGGGUGACGCAGACAGGUAGCUGCAGUGCGCCGAUGGUUGUGCGUAUUUAAGGUUGUGGCCCGCCUCCCAGGCAAAUCCGGGGGGCAUGUGGGUGAGAACUGAUGAGGGACACACGCGUGUGUGGACUUGUGGUGAUCCUAAGCUGCCGAGAAAAGCCUCGACGUGAGGGCAUGACGCGCCCGUACCCUAAACCGACUCAGGUGGUCAGGUAGAGUAUACCGAGGCGUUCGAGUGAAUCGUGGUUAAGGAACUCGGCAAAAUUCCUCCGUAACUUCGGGAUAAGGAGGACCCCGUGACUUCCCUCCGCCGCGCGUGGGGGUGGGGUUGUGGGGUCGCAGAGAAUAGGGAGAAGCGACUGUUUAUCAAAAACACAGGUGCGUGCGAAGCCGUAAGGCGAUGUAUACGCACUGACGCCUGCCCGGUGCUGGAAGGUUAAGAGGAACUGUCAACACCCCCUUGGGGUGUGAAGCGGUGAAUUUAAGCCCCAGUAAACGGCGGUGGUAACUAUAACCAUCCUAAGGUAGCGAAAUUCCUUGUCGGGUAAGUUCCGACCUGCACGAAUGGCGUAACGACUUCCCCGCUGUCUCAACCAUGAGCUCGGCGAAAUUGCAGUACGAGUAAAGAUGCUCGUUUCGCGCAGAAGGACGGAAAGACCCCGGGACCUUUACUACAGCUUGGUAUUGGCGCCCGCUAUAGCUUGUGCAGGAUAGGUGGGAGACUGUGAAGCCGUUACGCCAGUGGCGGUGGAGUCGUCCUUGAAAUACCACUCUGGUUAUGGCGUGCGCCUGAACCUGGGCCCGUGAUCCGGGUUAGGGACAGUGCCUGGUGGGUAGUUUAACUGGGGCGGUUGCCUCCUAAAGUGUAACGGAGGCGCUCAAAGGUUCCCUCAGCCUGGUCGGCAACCAGGUGUUGAGUGCAAGUGCACAAGGGAGCUUGACUGUGAGACCGACGGGUCGAGCAGGUACGAAAGUAGGAACUAGUGAUCCGGCGAUCCCGUGUGGGUGGGUCGUCGCUCAACGGAUAAAAGGUACCCCGGGGAUAACAGGCUGAUCCUGCCCAAGAGUCCAUAUCGACGGCAUGGUUUGGCACCUCGAUGUCGGCUCGUCGC
rnacentral:rRNA from 1 species